rnacentral:rRNA from 1 species
GGGCUUGACAUCCCACGAACCUGCCCGAAAGGGUAGGGUGCCCGCAAGGGAGCGUGGAGACAGGUGGUGCAUGGCUGUCGUCAGCUCGUGUCGUGAGAUGUUGGGUUAAGUCCCGCAACGAGCGCAACCCUCACCCCUUGUUGCCACCGGGUUAUGCCGAGCACUCUAGGGGAACUGCCAGCGUCAAGCUGGAGGAAGGCGGGGAUGACGUCAAGUCAUCAUGCCCCUUACGCCCUGGGCGACACACGUGCUACAAUGGCUGGUACAAAGGGAUGCAAGACCGCGAGGUGGAGCUAAUCCCAAAAAACCGGUCUAAGUUCAGAUUGCAGUCUGCAACUCGACUGCAUGAAGGAGGAAUCGCUAGUAAUCGCGCAUCAGCACGGCGCGGUGAAUACGUUCCCGGGCCUUGUACACACCGCCCGUCACACCACGAAAGCCGGCUGUACUCGAAGUCGCUGAGA